rnacentral:lncRNA from 1 species
UGGUGGAGAGGCAUAGGGAGCCUGGGCAUGCGGCGGUGGCGGUGAUGGGCUGCUCUCGUCAGGUGGCACAGAAGCAGCAUUCCUCUGCAUAGAGGAGCGGCUGGACGACGAGAAUCUGAAGCCGGGUAGCUUCCUCUGCACAUCUUCCAUCAUUUCACGGCACUGAAUGUUUCGGGUCAUUAUGAAGUCGCUGCACUGCUGUUUUAUUUUGCCAAUUGCUUCCUGUGCAGAGGGAGGGGGGGUCAUCCCAAUAUCAGUAGCCCAUUCGAGACGAGACAUCUGCAUUCCUAUGUUCGACGCAAAUAUUUAAAAAAAAAUUGAAAAUGCAAUCGCACCUGUAAAGUCACAUAAAAGUUUAGGCCCUCGUUGAUGUUCUUUUUAAACUCCUGGUAUUUCACAACAGCAGCAGCGAUUUGCUUGUAACAUCUCUCACGGGCAGCUGAAGGAAAAAGGAGAUUAACAAAUCAAAACUACACAUUAGCACCCGAAUAUGAUAACAGAUCCAUGUUAACGAUAAUCACAGGUUACACCUCCGUUCAAAAUUAUAGACCAUUUUUUUUUGUCCUAAGCCAAACUUCUCUAAGUUCAAUUUAAGUUUACAAGAAAAUACAUCGAUAUUUACAACAACAAACUGGGUUUCAUCAAGUUCUUCAUGAAAUAUGUCUUGACGGUGCAUUUAUUUGAACUUGUAAAUGUUAGUAAUUUUUCAAAAAUAAAAUUAGUCAAAGUUAGAGAUGUUUGACUUAGGAGAAAGCUGAAGUGACCUCUAAUUUGGAACAGAGGGAGUAGAGAUUAAGCAGAGCAAUAGCAAUUUGAAGUUACUCAAGAAAAUGGCGGACAUUCAAGAAAAGGUAUGCAUCAACUAGCUUGCUAGGGCUAUCUCCAGCAGUCUUACUCAUUAUAUCUCAUAUUUCAAACUCCACUCUGUAAACAGUGCAAAACAGUGCUUUGCAGGGCCAUAUGCACGAUCUGCUGGCCACAACCUAAGUAAGCUUAUGAACAACUAAGGCAGACAAAUUGCUGAGAUUUGGACAAAAAUGCCCACAAAUCAAUAAUUGCCCAACCAGCCAGCGUGAUGUAGAGAACCACUGCUGUAUUUGCUGGGCUCAAUAACGGAAAGAACGCUACCAGAAUAACAUACUGCUUGAUAGCUACCAUCCAUAAGGCUCGUGAAGUACAAAAGUGGAAAGUGCAAAAGGCUACAUCACAUGGAUAUUUAAAACAGAUAAUUUGCUCAAAAAUUAGCACAUAUACCCUUGAAGAAAAUGACUGUAAAACCUUGUUACCAUGAGGAUAAUUAGAAUACCUAAAGAGCAUGUUGUAACUUUUGGACUCGAUGUAUAAAGCAAGUUACAAAAGCAAAUGUAAAGGCAUCUAUCACAACUGUGACAGAAAAAAAUCCAUAAAGGUUACCUUUGUAAUCCUCUAGGUUGAAUACAGCAGCAAAUUGCUCGUUUUGUGCCUGUGCAAGGAUCCAGUAUCUAAGUGUUAGACACAAGACGAAGGUACAUGGCAAAAUAUAGGGCAUUGGGCUCUUAUAAACACUUCUCCUGCUGUUUCUUCUUUUUCUCAACACUGUCUCAAUUGCAAAACAACGACACUGCUACUCAGUUUUAAUACACUUUGUUGUUGAUAGAACUUUACGCAAAUUUAACACAGAGAGGUAUGCCUGCUUACCUGUAUUUGUAGCAACAAUUGUUCCUGUGCCACAAUGUUAUCAGCAAUAUCAGCACAUAUAGGAUCAUACUUAGCAAUCUCCUUCUUGAAAAGAUCAUCAUGUGAUCCCACGCCAACCAUCAACUUAGGCAAUAUAUCAUCCUGGCCAAAAUGGAUCUUCUCAAUGCACUAAGAUACUAUAGUAUAUGACCACAUCAUCAGUUAUUUAUCACUAAUUUCUAAGUAAUGAAAGACGACAAAUGAAUUUCAGCUAGUUUAAUGGCUAACAAACUUGAAAAGCAAUCCAUCAGGACCACCAUAAAAUAUUGUCAAGUGGGUUUUUUCUUGAACAAUCGUCAAGUGUAAUUUGGAAGGGGCAACGCAAAACAGAACACAGACACUCACAGUCAUAGGAGCCCAUGAUGAAUUAGUACUAAUACAGCACUCCAAGAAGUCAAGAACAUUAAAACUUGGAACUUUAAGCAUGAUCGCUAAGAAGGUAAAACAGACCCAUAGCUACUGUUCAGUGCUAGCACCAGACGAAUGUAUUCUACAUGUAAGACCAAGAAAAAUCUUGUGCAAAAAGACCUAUAGUGAAAGAUACAGGAACAAUAGUUGCACCUUUCUUUUCAUUUCUUUGAGCAUGUCUUCAAGACCUGCCCUUUGUGCGCCAAGAGACUCCAGUUGUCUCUGUUGACAAAUAAAAGCAAGUUUUGCCAAGUUAAAAAAGAAGUUUUACUGCAUGUUCUACUAGCUAUAGAAACUACUGUACAUUACCAAGCUUUGUUUCAGGGCUCCAACAAUGGCAUCUUCAUUUCCAUCCAAGGACAUGAUAGGCCUGGAAAUACUUGGAAGUGCAGACUCUAUCUGCAACAGACAACAGGUACAUGUAACUAUCUAGAUAUGAAGAAUAAAAUGAUGAUCACAGAAGAGAGGUACGGUUCAUUGGGAAGCAAAUAAAGAUAAGUAAUCCACUCAUAUGUUAAAUCCUAAUUAUACUUCUAGUUUCAUGUUAUAUACUAAUGUUGAACUCUCAC